AACGAACGCUGGCGGCAUGCCUAACACAUGCAAGUCGAACGAGACCUUCGGGUCUAGUGGCGCACGGGUGCGUAACGCGUGGGAACCUGCCCUUAGGUUCGGAAUAACUCCCGAAAGGGGUGCUAAUAACGGAUAAUGUCUUCGGACCAAAGAUUUAUCGCCUUUGGAUGGGCCCGCGUUGGAUUAGCUAGUUGGUAGGGUAAAAGCCUACCAAGGCGACGAUCCAUAGCUGGUCUGAGAGGAUGAUCAGCCACACUGGGACUGAGACACGGCCCAGACUCCUACGGGAGGCAGCAGUGGGGAAUAUUGGACAAUGGGCGAAAGCCUGAUCCAGCAAUGCCGCGUGAGUGAUGAAGGCCUUAGGGUUGUAAAGCUCUUUUACCCGGGAUGAUAAUGACAGUACCGGGAGAAUAAGCUCCGGCUAACUCCGUG
rnacentral:rRNA from 1 species